rnacentral:rRNA from 1 species
UACGUAGGGGGCAAGCGUUGUCCGGAUUUAUUGGGCGUAAAGAGCGUGUAGGCGGCCAUACAGGUCAGCUGUGAAAACUCGAGGCUCAACCUCGAGACGCCGAUGGAAACCACGUGGCUAGAGUCCGGAAGAGGAGAGUGGAAUUCCUGGUGUAGCGGUGAAAUGCGCAGAUAUCAGGAAGAACACCCGUGGCUAAGGCGGCUCUCUAGUACGGUACUGACGCUGAGACGCGAAAGCGUGGGGAGCAAACAGG